CAUGGCAACCCACUACAGUAUUCAUGCCUAGAGAAUCCCAUGGACAGAGGAGCCUGGCAGGCUAGUGUUCCUAGGGUCACAAAGAAUUGGAUGCGAUUUAGCACACACGCAGUAUAACUUGUAGAUGUGUGCUUAGUCACUCGGCCGUGUCCAACUCUUCCGGACCCCAUAGACUGUAGCCCGCCAGGCUCCUUUUGGAUAGGAGGACAAUCCGCAGAUUAGACAAAACCAGUGCUUAGUGAACUAGAAGAGGAAGAUGAGGAAAUUGCCCAAAACACGUGCAGCGCAGGGAGACAAGGAGAAGGAAGACACAGAAGAGAGAUGAACUGACAGAAGUAAUAGGACGACAGGAAGUAUUAAUGUAAUAGGUGCUUCCCAAUAAAGAUUAUGUGGAAUGAAUGAGGCAGAAUUGAAGAAAUAAUGGUUGAGAAUUCUCCAUUCCUGAUGAAAGAUGUAAACCCCUAGGAACGGGAAACAAACACAGUGUGUACCAAAGGAAUAAACCAGAAACAUGCUUGAAAGCAAAAAAAAAAAACACAAAGGACGGAAAAGAUCUUAAAAUCAGAGGAACUGACAGAGCCCUUGCUCUAACGCUGACGCAGGCCUCCGGCUGAGCCCUGCACACCCUGCCGCUCUGGCCGUUGAACCUCUGGGAUCGUGGAGUGUGGAAGUUUCCGGAGCGAGUCUCCCCAGCUCUACAAUUCGCUGACCAGACGGCGGCCCGCAGGGUCUGCCCGUUGUCGGGGCACAGGAGCCUUGGGCAGUCCGAGGCAGAAGCCAGGAAGGCCACUUUUCUCAGAGUCUGGCCUCGCGCCCCUUCUCUGAGGACCAUUUCCCUGCUCCCUGGGGGGCGUCCCAGCCCCUCGGCUGCUGCGGGGAGUGCGGGGGCGGGCGAGGGCGGGGAAGGACAGCCCAGUUCCGGGGGAGUCCGCUGCCACCUCGCGGCACGUCGGAGCACUGCGCACGCGCUUGACGGUCAAGGACUUGAACGCAGACCGUUGAGCUCGCCAGCCUGGGGCCACUGAUGGGGGACACAGGGUCACCAGGUCAGGUUUCUGCUCAGACUCCAGCAACCGAAGAGUGAACCCCGCUCGAGGGCAGGACCCUGGCCCAGAUAACGAAACCCCGUCCAGGUGGGAGAAGUUAACAAUUAGCAAUGGAAUACUGCCCACAAGCAUGUAGACCCCAGACCAGUUGGACCUGAAGGUUAAAAAUGCUGACUCCUACUUGCCUCAACACCAACCCAUCAGAAGAACGUCCACAAACUGAUCAUGCCCUCUUUAAACAAUUACUAUAAAACUUGUCACUAUUUUCCCCAAGUUGGGACACCUGGUUUUGAGAGCAUUAGCCCGCUGUGACCCCCUUUGCCUGGUAAAGCAAUAAAGUUAUCCUUUUCUACUUCAACCCAAACUCUGCCUCUGAGAUUCGAUUUGGAACCAAGUUCAGCUGAAAGCUGAGCUUUCAGCAUCAGUGGAGACACUCUGGCUGGGAA